rnacentral:rRNA from 1 species
UACGUAGGGUGCAAGCGUUAGUCGGAAUUACUGGGCGUAAAGCGUGCGCAGGCGGUUUUGUAAGCCAGAUGUGAAAUCCCCGGGCUUAACCUGGGAAUGGCAUUUGGGACUGCAAGGCUGGAGUGUGGCAGAGGAGACUGGAAUUCCUGGUGUAGCAGUGAAAUGCGCAGAUAUCAGGAGGAACACCGGUGGCGAAGGCGGGUCUCUGGGCCACUACUGACGCUGAGGAGCGAAAGCGUGGGGAGCAAACAGG